CCUACGUGGGGCUGCAGUGAGGAAUAUUGGUCAAUGGGCGCGAGCCUGAACCAGCCAAGUAGCGUGAAGGAUGACUGCCCUACGGGUUGUAAACUUCUUUUAUAAAGGAAUCAAGUGAGGCACGUGUGCCUUUUUGUAUGUACUUUAUGAAUAAGGAUCGGCUAACUCCGUGCCAGCAGCCGCGGGAAUACGGAGGAUCCGAGCGUUAUCCGGAUUUAUUGGGUUUAAAGGGAGCGUAGAUGGGUUGUUAAGUCAGUUGUGAAAGUUUGCGGCUCAACCGUAAAAUUGCAAUUGAUACUGGCAGUCUUGAGUACAGUUGAGGUAGGCGGAAUUCGUGGUGUAGCGGUGAAAUGCUUAGAUAUCACGAAGAACUCCGAUUGCGAAGGCAGCUUACUAAACUGCCACUGACAUUGAUGCUCGAAAGUGUGGGUAUCAAACAGGAUUAGAUACCCUUGUAGUC
rnacentral:rRNA from 1 species